UCCUCGGUAGCUCAGUUGGUAGAGCACUUGGCUGUUAACCAAUAGGUCGCUGGUUCGAGUCCAGCCCGGGGAG
rnacentral:tRNA from 2 species